UUGAGCGGAGAUAUAUGGAGCUUGCUUUAUAUAACUUAGCAGCGAACGGGUGAGUAACACGUAGAUAAUCUAUCCUAUACUGGGGGAUAGCCCGAUGAAAGUUGGAUUAAUACCGCAUAUAGCUAUAUAGUUGCAUGAUUAUGUAGUGAAAGAUUUAUUGGUAUAGGAGGAGUCUGCGGCACAUUAGCUAGUAGGUGAGGUAAAGGCUUACCUAGGCGACGAUGUGUAGCCGGUCUGAGAGGAUGAACGGCCACAAUGGAACUGAGACACGGUCCAUACUCCUACGGGAGGCAGCAGUGGGGAAUAUUGCACAAUGGGGGAAACCCUGAUGCAGCAACGCCGCGCGAGUGAAGAAGGUUUUCGGAUUGUAAAGCUCUGUUAGCAGGGAAGAGGAAGGACGGUACCUGCAGAGGAAGCCACGGCUAACUACGUGCCAGCAGCCGCGGUAAUACGUAGGUGGCAAGCGUUGUUCGGAAUAACUGGGCGUAAAGGAUGCGUAGGCGGUUAAACAAGUUAUAUGUUAAAUAUAUAGGCUUAACCUGUAGAAAGCAUAUAAAACUGUUUAACUAGAGUGCAGGAGAGGUAAGUGGAAUUCCUAGUGUAGCGGUGAAAUGCGUAGAGAUUAGGAAGAACACCAGUGGCGAAGGCGACUUACUGGACUGUAACUGACGCUGAGGCAUGAGAGCAUGGGGAGCAAACAGGAUUAGAUACCCUGGUAGUCCAUGCUGUAAACGAUGGGUACUAGGUGUGGGUUGU
rnacentral:rRNA from 1 species